AACGAACGCUGGCGGCAGGCUUAACACAUGCAAGUCGAGCGCCCCGCAAGGGGAGCGGCAGACGGGUGAGUAACGCGUGGGAACGUACCCUUUGCUACGGAAUAGCUCCGGGAAACUGGAAUUAAUACCGUAUGUGCCCUACGGGGGAAAGAUUUAUCGGCAAAGGAUCGGCCCGCGUUGGAUGAGCUAGUUGGUGGGGUAAUGGCCUACCAAGGCGACGAUCCAUAGCUGGUCUAAGAGGAUGAUCAGCCACAUUGGGACGGAGAAACGGCCCAUACUACUACGGGAGGCAGCAGUGGGGAAUAUUGGACAAUGGGCGUAAGCCUGAUCCAGCCAUGCCGCGUGAGUGAUGAAGGCCUUAGGGUUGUAAAGCUCUUUCACCGGAGAAGAUAAUGACGGUAUCCGGAGAAGAAGCCCCGGCUAACUUCGUGCCAGCCGCCGCGAUAACAC
rnacentral:rRNA from 1 species